rnacentral:rRNA from 1 species
GAUGAACGCUGACAGAAUGCUUAACACAUGCAAGUCUUUGGCGAAUCUGUGCUUGCACAGGCUAGCCAAGGCGGACGGGUGAGUAACGCGUAAAGAACUUGCCCUGCAGACAGGGAUAACAGACGGAAACGACUGAUAACACCUGAUACAGUUGCCGGCACGCAUGUGCCUGGCAAUGAAAAGAGAUGCUGCAGGAGAGCUUUGCGUCCUAUUAGCUUGUUGGUGAGGUGACGGCUCACCAAGGCGAUGAUAGGUAGCCGGCCUGAGAGGGUGAACGGCCACAAGGGGACUGAGAUACGGCCCUUACUCCUACGGGAGGCAGCAGUGGGGAAUAUUGGACAAUGGGGGUAACCCUGAUCCAGCAAUUCUGUGUGCACGAAGAAGGUUUUCGGAUUGUAAAGUGCUUUCAGCAGGGAAGAAGAAAGUGACGGUACCUGCAGAAGAAGCGACGGCUAAAUACGUG